AGGGGGUUAGCGUUGUUCGGAAUUACUGGGCGUAAAGCGCGCGUAGGCGGGCUGUUAAGUCGGGGGUGAAAUCCCGGGGCUCAACCCCGGAACUGCCUUCGAUACUGGCAGCCUAGAGUUCGAGAGAGGUGAGUGGAACUUCGAGUGUAGAGGUGAAAUUUGUAGAUAUUUGGAAGAACACCAGUGGCGAAGGCGGCUCACUGGCUCGAUACUUACGCUGAGGUGCGAAAGUGUGGGGAGCAAACAGGAUUAGAUAUCCUGGUAGUUCACACCGUAAACGUUGAAUGCCAGACGUCGGGCAGCAUGCUGUUUGGUGUCACACCUUACGGAUUAAGCAUUUCGCCUGGGGAGUACGGCCGCAAGGUCAAAACUGAAAGGAAUUGACGGGGGCCCGCACAAGCGGUGGAGCAUGUGGUUUAAUUCGAAGCAACGCGCAGAACCUUACCAACCCU
rnacentral:rRNA from 1 species